rnacentral:rRNA from 1 species
GACGAACGCUGGCGGCGUGCUUAACACAUGCAAGUCGAACGGUAAGGCCCUUCGGGGUGCACGAGUGGCGAACGGGUGAGUAACACGUGGGUGAUCUGCCAUGCACUUCGGGAUAAGCCUGGGAAACUGGGUCUAAUACCGGAUAGGACCACUGCCUGCAUGGGUGGUGGUGGAAAGCUUUUGCGGUGUGGGAUGGGCCCGAGGCCUAUCAGCUUGUUGGUGGGGUGAUGGCCUACCAAGGCGACGACGGGUAGCCGGCCUGAGAGGGUGACCGGCCCCACUGGGACGGAGAUACGGCCCAGACUCCUACGGGAGGCAGCAGUGGGGAAUAUUGCACAAUGGGCGCAAGCCUGAUGCAGCGACGCCGCGUGAGGGAUGACGGCCUUCGGGUUGUAAACCUCUUUCAGCACCGACGAAGCGCAAGUGACAGUAGGUGCAGAAUAAGGACCGGCCAACUACGUGCCAGCCGCCGCAGUAA